GACGAGAAGCUUGCUUCUCUGAUGUUAGCGGCGGACGGGUGAGUAACACGUGGAUAACCUACCUAUAAGACUGGGAUAACUUCGGGAAACCGGAGCUAAUACCGGAUAAUAUUUUGAACCGCAUGGUUCAAAAGUGAAAGACGGUCUUGCUGUCACUUAUAGAUGGAUCCGCGCUGCAUUAGCUAGUUGGUAAGGUAACGGCUUACCAAGGCAACGAUGCAUAGCCGACCUGAGAGGGUGAUCGGCCACACUGGAACUGAGACACGGUCCAGACUCCUACGGGAGGCAGCAGUAGGGAAUCUUCCGCAAUGGGCGAAAGCCUGACGGAGCAACGCCGCGUGAGUGAUGAAGGUCUUCGGAUCGUAAAACUCUGUUAUUAGGGAAGAACAUAUGUGUAAGUAACUGUGCACAUCUUGACGGUACCUAAUCAGAAAGCCACGGCUAACUACGUGCCAGCAGCCGCGGUAAUACGUAGGUGGCAAGCGUUAUCCGGAAUUAUUGGGCGUAAAGCGCGCGUAGGCGGUUUUUUAAGUCUGAUGUGAAAGCCCACGGCUCAACCGUGGAGGGUCAUUGGAAACUGGAAAACUUGAGUGCAGAAGAGGAAAGUGGAAUUCCAUGUGUAGCGGUGAAAUGCGCAGAGAUAUGGAGGAACACCAGUGGCGAAGGCGACUUUCUGGUCUGUAACUGACGCUGAUGUGCGAAAGCGUGGGGAUCAAACAGGAUUAGAUACCCUGGUAGUCCACGCCGUAAACGAUGAGUGCUAAGUGUUAGGGGGUUUCCGCCCCUUAGUGCUGCAGCUAACGCAUUAAGCACUCCGCCUGGGGAGUACGACCGCAAGGUUGAAACUCAAAGGAAUUGACGGGGACCCGCACAAGCGGUGGAGCAUGUGGUUUAAUUCGAAGCAACGCGAAGAACCUUACCAAAUCUUGACAUCCUUUGACAACUCUAGAGAUAGAGCUUUCCCCUUCGGGGGACAAAGUGACAGGUGGUGCAUGGUUGUCGUCAGCUCGUGUCGUGAGAUGUUGGGUUAAGUCCCGCAACGAGCGCAACCCUUAAGCUUAGUUGCCAUCAUUAAGUUGGGCACUCUAAGUUGACUGCCGGUGACAAACCGGAGGAAGGUGGGGAUGACGUCAAAUCAUCAUGCCCCUUAUGAUUUGGGCUACACACGUGCUACAAUGGACAAUACAAAGGGCAGCGAAACCGCGAGGUCAAGCAAAUCCCAUAAAGUUGUUCUCAGUUCGGAUUGUAGUCUGCAACUCGACUACAUGAAGCUGGAAUCGCUAGUAAUCGUAGAUCAGCAUGCUACGGUGAAUACGUUCCCGGGUCUUGUACACACCGCCCGUCACACCACGAGAGUUUGUAACACCCGAAGCCG
rnacentral:rRNA from 2 species